rnacentral:rRNA from 1 species
UACGUAGGUGGCAAGCGUUGUCCGGAUUUACUGGGCGUAAAGAGCGCGCAGGCGGUCGUGCAAGUCGCGUGUGAAAGCCCCCGGCUCAACUGGGGAGGGUCACGCGAUACUGCUCGACUUGAAGGCAGGAGAGGGAAGUGGAAUUCCCGGUGUAGUGGUGAAAUGCGUAGAUAUCGGGAGGAGCACCAGUGGCGAAGGCGACUUCCUGGCCUGUUCUUGACGCUGAGGCGCGAAAGCUAGGGGAGCAAACGGG